rnacentral:lncRNA from 1 species
UUUUUUUUUUUUUUUUUUUUUUUUUUUUUUAAGAUACGAAAAAUUGAAGCCCUGCAUAAUGGGCAGCAAGGGAAAAAAAAGGCAGCUGCAGUAGGUGCCUACUGCUGGGGGAACAUGAACACAAGCUUCACCGGUGCGGUGAGGCACUGCCAGCAUGCAGAUCUUUCUCUGCAAGCGUGCAUGGACACUGUGAUUUGUAGCCAGAGAGACCUUUAUGCUUGCUGAAAACAAAAUGAUUGUACAGCUUGUUGAAGUCAGAACACUAGAGAUCAGAGAGGUGACAUUCAGAGCUAGCCCUUUGAGUACUUCAAAGGAAACACAAAAAAAUUAAUCGGGUCAUGUUCAACAUACUAAACAACCUUACUAUGUACAUUAUACGCAAUGAUUUAUAAAUACCUAAGCAGAAUGCUCUCUACUGUAUACAGGUAUAACAUACUUCUAGAGUACUCAAAGGAUGAACAGUCCUCGACUGACUCACGUUAACAAAAUUAAGUAGCACGUUAAAGAGCAUCUGUUGACAAACAGAACCGAAUCUCAUUCAGAAAGUAAGGCCUGGUUCUACCAUUUGCAGUCCCGAGUGUGCCAAUAGUAUUGGAAAACACAGGUCACUGGAGCAGCAGCCGGUUGCACGUAUCUUGUCAAGGAUGAGCUGUUAACUCCUACCGCAGUGUCAGCACACGCACCAGCAUCAGUUCAGGGACGAUACAGUGCAUUCACUCUCAGUGCAUACUAACAGGAUUUGAUAAAACAUAUAAAAACAUUUGAGACGGAAUUCAAUUCCUGGAGAUCUAAUACAGUGUGCCAUUAAAAACAAAAACAAAGAAACAAACAGCAAACGGUGACUGACCAAGCUCCAUUACAGCUGGGAGGGACUAAUCUCCAUCUGGUCAGCUGUGCUGACCUUCUGAACCACAGAUCUGGAACAGAAGAUGCUGAACUGAGAUGGGGAGAAAGAAAGGCAUAAAUACUAAACAGUCAAAGUACAAAUUAAAAAAAAAAAAUCAAAAACAAACCAAACAAGAAAAAACCACAAAGCCACUACUAAAAAUUCACACAAGACAGCUAACUGCUGCCAACAAGUUGGCUGAGUAUUUCCUCAAAAGGGAAAAUAAAUUUGUGUUAGAGUAAAAUAAUCUGAAUCAUUCAAAAUUUAAAAAAAAAAAGAAAAAGAAGAAGGAUAUUCUAACAAGCAUACUGAAAGAUGUUGAAAAGAAAUGGUCCACGGAAAGGGAGACACCAACCAUGGAGCAGCCAAUCCUUCCCCUCUGGUGAGGAUGGCUUUUCUGAGCCUGUGGGAAAGACCCUGGGGGAAUCCCACCCACAAAGAUCUCACUGUUUCUCCUGCUAUGGCAUUACUCAUUGGGAAAGUUGAGGGAACUAACUGUGCAGCAAGCAAAAGCCUGGACACAUCCUGACAAACUUGGGAGCAGGUCACCUCCUCUGUUCUCACAUCAGCAAGGAAAAGGACCAACAAGCUUUGCAGUCCAAUCUCACAUAGUCCCCACCAGCCCCAGUCCUUCCUGAGCUGAGGACUGGGAGGGAAGCUGGCACCAAGCAUCACCUCCCAGCUCCUUGAGGCGAGGGCUGAGACACAGGGAUAAACUGAUGGCAAGGGAGGACAAUGUGGCUUUACCCUCCCCACUGCACUCUCACGCUGCAUAGACUCUCACGUUCUCAGUACACUACCAAGGUGUCCCUUCAGCUCCCCAAAGGGGAAAUGGAGGGCUUAGAGAAAGACCAAGACACUGAGAACAGCCAGGGAGCACACAUCCAUCACCACAGCUGCAGCCAUAAGCUGCAGGUCCAUCAUCCUCUUGCAUUGCUGGCAGUGGGGGCAAAAAGCCAGUUCCGAUCCAUUUCAUGUUUGGCGUGGGCAUGCCCAUCAGCUGGGAUCCAGCCCAGGGCCAAACACAGCACUAGCAUCCUCCUCCUUCCCCUGGUUACAGGCAGAGGCAGGGGAGCUCACCCUCUGCAAACAGAGAGUCUUCCUUUGGGAAAGCUGGUGCUGUGAGGUAUUUGGCUGCUGCUGGUUUGGCUCUGACGUGGUCUGCGUCACCAGGCUGCAAAAGGAUUUGCCCUGUGGCACCCUUACCCAGAGCACCCUGCUGGCAGUAGUGCCCAGCAAGGCCUCUCCACACCCCUCCAAAAUGCAGAGCACCCAUCAGGGCUGUGCGUGGUGCUGGCCAGGAAGAAGAAGGUUUCUAAAGGCAGCUAACAGCACUGCAGUCUCUUCAGGCACAGGAGGAGAGAUGUGGCAGGCAACCAGCAUUGUCGCAGCUGGCUCAGCAGGUGCUUCCAUGGGAAUUUUUUGUUCAGUUUCAGACACCUUUUCUGUCCUCUGGGGUGAACAUUUUGCCCAAAGCACAAAGGAGUUGUGGGACAAAGCCGUUCACCACCCAACACCAGUGGGUUGGGUCAGAGCAGAUCAGCCCUUUGACACUAUAUACUUCAAAAAUGCAGCUAGCCUCACAAGGCAGCACUGAGAUAGAGCCCUGCCAGCUGCCACUGCCUACCCAUGGCACACUCAGAACCUAAUCCAACACCCACCCACCUAACUCCAGUGUCCUGUUCGCAGGCCAUCAGUCCCAGAACUGGGUCUCAGGUUCCCUUUGUGGAGUAACAAGUAACCUGGAGAGUCUUUUGAGCAUAUGAAAUAGCCAAAUGGGUUAGGAGGGGAGAAGUAUUUACAUAGUCAAUGAAAGGAGCAAGAGCCCAGCUGUUCUGCACAGCACAGCUGGCUGGAGAGCAGUUACACAGAAAUUAGCCCACUGGAGGUCAGUCAGAAGAACUAUGUACAAAAAGUCAGAUGUUUAAAAAGAACCUACUUUUUCAUUACUCACUUGAUAUCUCUCAGUAUUAAAGCAUCCAAGGGUGGAAUCACAACCACAUCUGCAAAGAUGUCCCUGAAGACAGCUCUGCAUGCUAGGCAAGCUGCAGCAGGGAGUACAAAACAGGACCACAAGACUUGCAAGAAGAGGAGAACCUAGCCGGAAUGGCCGAGAGAGCAGGUAACCAGCACACAGAAACCAAAACUGGGUAUGAAC